GAUGAACGCUGGCGGCGUGCCUAAUACAUGCAAGUCGAGCGAAUGGAUUAAGAGCUUGCUCUUAUGAAGUUAGCGGCGGACGGGUGAGUAACACGUGGGUAACCUGCCCAUAAGACUGGGAUAACUCCGGGAAACCGGGGCUAAUACCGGAUAACAUUUUGAACCGCAUGGUUCGAAAUUGAAAGGCGGCUUCGGCUGUCACUUAUGGAUGGACCCGCGUCGCAUUAGCUAGUUGGUGAGGUAACGGCUCACCAAGGCAACGAUGCGUAGCCGACCUGAGAGGGUGACCAGCGCCACUGGGACUGGGACACGGCCCAGAUUCCUACGGGAGGCGGCAGUAGAGAAGCUUGCGAAAGGGACGAAAGUCUGACGGAGCAACGCCGCGUGAGUGAUGAAGGCUUUCGGAUCGUAAAACUCUGUUGUUAGGGAAGAACAAGUGCUAGUUGAAUAAGCUGGCACCUUGAAGGUACCUAACCAGAAAGCCACGGCUAACUACGUGCCAGCCGCCGCAGUAA
rnacentral:rRNA from 1 species